CUUAGUUCCACCGAAUUGUUUUCACCUUAUAUGCAGGAGUUUCCAUGUGAGGUAAAGUUCAGUUGUGUUCACAUGGGGCCUGAUGGUUUAACCUCCUCCAAGGACAAAAGAGGAUCUCAAGAGACUGCUUUUGGGACAGAAAGAUCAGAGGCGGUGGCCAAAGGAAGAGGUAAUGAUGAGAGGCUCCUAGUGGUAAAGUGGGAUCUGAUAAACUCAGACCUGGGUGUUUGAGCCUCUGAGAACCCACGUGACCGAGAGAAUAAGUUUCCAGUUACACUGUCCCUUUGGAAUAAGCGACUAAAUGUGGUGUCGUAAGGCAAAGCAGCAGGAAAGGAUGAAAUCUACACACAGCACCGUGGAACAGGCAUGAAAACCUCCAUAUCGGCGAAAAGGUAGAAAGUAGAUUUCCGUUUAUACACAGUAUCACUUGUGCACAUUAAUAAUACAUUCAUGAAAAAGAACAGCGUAUGUGUUUCAAAAAUACACACAAAAACUAAAGGCCACAUGCGGCAGAGAGGGUGCCUGGGCAGGAGCUGUGAGUGGGGGUUGGACGUGGCUGAGGCACACAGAGGAAAAAUAAGUAAGCCAGAGAAGGCUUUGCUCAGGCUGGCGAUGAUGGUGAACCAUGAAACAAGGGACAAGAUAAACUCCACUCCGUGAGGGCAGGGGUGGUGCCCAAUCCGAGCCCGGGAGCCAAAAGGGAACAGUGGGCACGUGAGGAUGGGAGGAACACUGGGGCCCAGGGAAUGGUGCCUGCUGUCACAGAGGCUGUCGUAAAGUGCCACGUGCAGUGGGCUGACACCCAGAACCAACUCUGCAGGGAGUGGAGAGAAAAGGCAGAUUCGGGAGUGGGCGUGUGACCCUGUGUCACGCGGCAUCUCUGGCGGGAGGGACACCUGUGUGGCGAGGUGCUGGUUGCCAGGGAAGAGCGGCUGUGCCCGGUGGUGCGAAUGCAUCGCGACUGCGCGUGGGCCCUGGCCAGUUCUCGCUGCGUGCUCCCGCCUCCAGACACCGGAAUCGGUCCGUGCGCCUCAAACCCGCGAACCCAGGAAACACGUGGGAAGCUUACUGGAAAAUCCCAAAGCUGGGAACACAGCCCCGGGGAUUCGGAUUCGGUACUUGUGGGGAGCACCUGGCAUGAGGACCUUAUGCAGCAUCACUGGUGACUUCAGUUCUUCGGACACUUGUGAGAAAAAUACACACAGUCUUGAAGGAAAACAGAUGAGAUCAAGGGCAACACUGAAGAUGUUGGCAUUGAACAAGAGACAGGGCAUCGUAUUCUCUGACCAUGGAUACAAAAUUCAGGGAAAGGACAGAUGGAGAUGAAUUUCUAUGAGGUAAGGAGGGGCAGGAGGCAGAGGUACUUCACACCCGAUGACAUGAAAGUAGGACAUAAAAUCAGGUGUUCUGGACAAGGCUUGUGGGGUCAAAUAAAAGACUCAGGAGUGGUGAAGGUAAGAAAGAG
ensembl:lncRNA